AUUGAACGCUGGCGGCAGGCCUAACACAUGCAAGUCGAGCGAGCGGCGGACGGGGGAGUAAUGUAUGGGGACUGACAGAUAGAGGGGGAUACCUACUGGAAACGGUGGCUAAUACCGCCUACUGUCGGAUAACCCAUAUGGGAUUAGCUAGUAGGUAAGGUAAUGGCGUACUUAGGCGACGAUCCCUAGCUGGUCUGAGAGGUUGAUCAGCCACACUGGGACUGAGACACGGCCCAGACGCCUACGGAGGCAGCAGUGGGGAAUAUUGCACAAUGGGCGCAAGCCUGAUGCAGCCAUGCCGCGUGUAUGAAGAAGGCCCUAGGGUUGUAAAGUACUUUCAGUCGUGAGGCGUUACCGACAGAAGAAGCACCGGCUAACUCCGUGCCAGCAGCCGCGGUAAUAC
rnacentral:rRNA from 1 species